GCAUUGGUGGUUCAGUAGUAGAAUACUCGCCUCCCUCGCGGGAGACCCGGGUCCAAUUCCCGGUCAAUGCA
rfam:Danio rerio chromosome 4, GRCz11 reference primary assembly.